UAAACUAUUCAAACUUUAUGAAAUAGUUCAAUAAACCCCUCUCUUAAAUUAACGUUCAUUACAACAAAAACGGUCGAUAGCGACAUUUUUAAAUGUCGGUACAGAUCAAAAAAAGUGUUGUUGGCUAAAUUACCGACACUUUUAAAAAGUGUUGCUAUAUGUGGGAUCGCUAGGUAUAUAGUGACAGUUAAAGAGUGUCGUUAUAAUCUAAAAAAGUGCUGCUAAUUUACCAAUAUUUAUUUAAUCAUUUAAUAGCCGUCGGAACUCUAACUCGUUGGCUGCGGUGGCGGAGGAGGAUGAGAGGAAGGGAUUUUCGUCUAGGAUUUCAGUCGAUUGAGUGAGGGGAGAAGAGGAAAUGGUAAUCGAUUUUUCUUUUUUUUUUUUAUUUCCUGUUUGUAAUCGGGCCGAAUGGGCUAGAUGAGGUGGGUUGAGUAGAGUAACCUUUUAUUUUUUGUUAGAUUGGACUUUAUAUUUAGGCAUUAGUAAAUUUUUUUUUAAGUUUUGACAUAAAUUGGACACUUUCUCAAAAGUGUCCCAAACAUGUGUCCCUAUAACAUAAUUCUAUUGUAGUGGUUAUUGAUUAAACAAUCAUUUUUGCCAUAUAUGUUGCAUAU
rnacentral:lncRNA from 1 species